rnacentral:rRNA from 1 species
ACGGGAGGCAGCAGUGAGGAAUAUUGGUCAAUGGGCGAGAGCUUGAACCAGCCAAGUCGCGUGCGGGACGAAGGCCCUACGGGUCGUAAACCGCUUUUAUACGGGAAUAAAGUGCGCCACGUGUGGCGUUUUGCAGGUACCGUAGGAAUAAGGAUCGGCUAACUCCGUGCCAGCAGCCGCGGUAAUACGGAGGAUGCGAGCGUUAUCCGGAUUUAUUGGGUUUAAAGGGUGCGUAGGCGGGCUAUUAAGUCAGCGGUCAAAUCGUGUUGCUCAACAAUACUUAGCCGUUGAAACUGGUGGUCUUGAGUGUAAAUGAGGUAGGCGGAAUGUGACGUGUAGCGGUGAAAUGCUUAGAUAUGUCACAGAACCCCGAUUGCGAAGGCAGCUUACCAAGAUACAACUGACGCUGAGGCACGAAAGCGUGGGUAUCAAACAGGAUUAGAUACCCUGGUA